GUAAAUAUGAGGAAAUAAAUCUAAAUUUAUUCUAAACAAACAUAGAUCUAUGAAUUUAUUAAAAAAAUAGAAAAUGACAAAAAUAAAAGAAAAAAACCAAUCUGGUGGCAGUGGUGGCAGCCACUGCUGAGUUGUGGCUACCUAAAAGGGACAUGAGAAAAAGAGAAAAAAUAUAUGAAAAAUGAGAAAGGGAAAGAGAUUUUGUCGAAUAUUAAAAUAUUUAAAUUUGAAAAAUACUUAGAUUAAAUAAACAAAAUCAUCUGAAUUGUUUGACUAGUCAUGAAAUUGGUUUUGCAUAUCACACAUGGUUUUUAAAAUUGCAUGGAAGGUUAAAAUUAAGUUGAGCCAUCAAUAUUUAACCAAUAAGGCAUGUGUGGUGCGUUUAGUUCAGGUAGGAAAAUAAGUUUCUGGUCACAUUCCUAACAAACUUUGGCUGCUAAUAAAUAUUCACACAUGCUAAGGAGAUCAAGAUAUAUAAAUAAAUAUAAAAGGAAACUUACCAGAAUUGAGACAAGAGAGCAGAUUCAAAGGUUGGAGAAAACUCAAAAGCUGUCUUGGUGGAAUGAACAG
rnacentral:misc_RNA from 1 species